UGAGGAGCGAAAGCAUGGGGAGCGAACAGGAUUAGAUACCCUGGUAGUCCAUGCCGUAAACGUUGGGCGCUAGAUGUAGGGACCUUUCCACGGUUUCUGUGUCGUAGCUAACGCAUUAAGCGCCCCGCCUGGGGAGUACGGCCGCAAGGCUAAAACUCAAAGGAAUUGACGGGGGCCCGCACAAGCGGCGGAGCAUGCGGAUUAAUUCGAUGCAACGCGAAGAACCUUACCAAGGCUUGACAUACACCGGAAACGGCCAGAGAUGGUCGCCCCCUUGUGGUCGGUGUACAGGUGGUGCAUGGUUGUCGUCAGCUCGUGUCGUGAGAUGUUGGGUUAAGUCCCGCAACGAGCGCAACCCUCGUUCUAUGUUGCCAGCGGGUUAUGCCGGGGACUCAUAGGAGACUGCCGGGGUCAACUCGGAGGAAGGUGGGGAUGACGUCAAAUCAUCAUGCCCCUUAUGUCUUGGGCUUCACGCAUGCUACAAUGGCCGGUACAAAGGGCUGCGAUACCGUAAGGUGGAGCGAAUCCCAAAAAGCCGGUCUCAGUUCGGAUUGAGGUCUGCAACUCGACCUCAUGAAGUCGGAGUCGCUAGUAAUCGCAGAUCAGCAACGCUGCGGUGAAUACGUUCCCGGGCCUUGUACACACCGCCCGUCA
rnacentral:rRNA from 1 species